AACGAACGCUGGCGGCGUGGAUAAGACAUGCAAGUCGGACGGGAUUACUUUUGGUAGCAAUACCGAAAGUGAUCCAGUGGCGAACGGGUGCGUAACACGUGGGCAAUCUACCGAGAAGUG
rnacentral:rRNA from 1 species